GAAUUAUGAAAGUUUAAGUGUGUCAAACUGAUACCGCUGAUCUAUGUAAAAUAAUAAAGCAAGGGUCAAACACUAGUCAACGACAUAAGCACGUAAAAUAAAUGGGGGUAAAGGUGAAAAUAUGACAAGGGGAUUUAAUAACGUGAAUUUUAUGUAAAGGCGGCAGCACAAAAGUUAAUCGAUACAAUUCAAGAUAAACAACAAUAUAAACAGAGGAUAAAUAAAAACGACAACUUUCCUUUCGUUCGUUUGAAGAGGCUAUGUCCAAUCAAUUAGAAUGAAAGAGGUACCUGAAAAAUGAUGUUAGAAAAAUAACUUAUAUAUAUGUGUGUGUGUGUGUGUGUGUGUGUGUGUGUGUGUGUGUGUGUGUGUAUAUAUAUAUACACAAAUAAAACUUCUAAGCAAAUGGGCCAAAACGGGCAUACAAACGGGGGCCCAAAACAAAGCUAAAAUACAAAACACUCGAAUUACACAAUAUAACCAAAACAGGGCCGAACCUAAGGCCCAAAACAUAACGGACUGAACACAGGAAACUUCAGUCCAUAGAAUCUCCUUAUUUGGCUUCGUCUGUAGCUUUGAUGCUUGAUAAGGUGUUGGCCACUGGUAGCGAGAUACGGCUGUAGCGUAUGGAUGGCAGAAGUAUGGUUGUUGUUUCUGUGUAGAGAAGAUGAAGUUUGGGUAGUAGUGGAGGCAGCGGAAAGAUGAAGGUUGGGUGUUUGGACCGAGAAAUGAUGUUUGAUUGUGGCAGCCAAAUUUGGGAAGAUGUUUUGUGAUUGACGGGUAGCAAUUUUGGGUAUGGUGUUCUUGAGAUGUGGGUAGCGAUUGUGAAAAAGGAACGGUUGCUGCGUCAACGGUGGUUCGAUUAAACAGGGAGUACGUUAGACGGUGGGGGUCCAAGAAGAGAUUUGGUGGGCGGAGGUGGUGCCGAUGAGAUGGAUGGACGAUUAUCACUACGCCUUCCAUACGGAGUCUUAGUAAUCGACUCGUAAUCUCGAACUAAGGAAUAAGCGUGAUCAAGAGUGGUGACACCUCGAAGGACAAGCUCACGCCAAAGAUCAUCUCUUAGGCCUUUUCUGAACCUACUUAAAGUCAUAGCUUCAUCCUCGAUGUAUCAUCGCAUUCGGAGCUCAUCAAAUUGAGUAACAUAGUCAGUCACUAGUCGGUUUCCUUGUGUGAGGGUAUUCCAAUGGUCCAACAAGUUGCUCCGAUAAAAGUGGGGUAAAUAUUUCUCUUGAAGGCGGCGCUUUAUUUCCUCCGAACUUCCAACGGGAGGUGCAUGAUGCCUCUCAAGAAGGUCCUCAACAAUUUCCCAAAAGAGUUGGACAGUGCCAUUUAAUUUCAAGCUGACAAAUUGAACUCUUCGAUCCUCUGGGACUCCAUACCAGGAAAAGAAAUGAUCUAUGUCUCUAAUCCAUUGUGUAAAAACUCUAGGAUCUAAACAGCUAUCGAAAGUAGGAGCGUCUAAUUUGAUGUUUCGAAAACAACGCUUCUCAUAACGAGGAGGUGAAUGAGUACCAUAAUGGUCAUGGUCUCGUUCAUGAUCGCGCUCCUGUUCUCCAUUGCUUCACCCAUGACAAAUACGCUGUCGACCACCAUGUCGAUGACGUUCAGAGUUAUCAGCGUUGGUUGAGGGAGAGGUUUGUUCUAAAUUGUUCACCCUAGCAGCUAGUUCUCUACUCUCUUCACAAGUAGCAGUCAUCUCGGUUUGGACGGUUGGUAAUUGAGCCUGUAGUUGAGCUAAUUGUCGAGUAAGGGCAUCAAAUUAAGAAGGGUCCAUGAUCACAGUAUUGGAAUUGGGUAUGACAAAAUGACCACUAUGCAAAUGCAUGCAAUGUAACACUAAUUGAAUGCAGUGAAUGACGAGAUCAAUAAACAACUAGUUCAAGAAAUGAGAAUAACAACUACAGCAUUUAAAUAAUAAUAAUUAUUAUUAUUAUUAUUUUUGGAAUUAUGAAAGUUUAAGUGUGUCAAACUGAUACCGCUGAUCUAUGUAAAAUAAUAAAGCAAGGGUCAAACACUAGUCAACGACAUAAGCACGUAAAAUAAAUGGGGGUAAAGGUGAAAAUAUGACAAGGGGAUUUAAUAACGUGAAUUUUAUGUAAAGGCGGCAGCACAAAAGUUAAUCGAUACAAUUCAAGAUAAACAACAAUAUAAACAGAGGAUAAAUAAAAACGACAACUUUCCUUUCGUUCGUUUGAAGAGGCUAUGUCCAAUCAAUUAGAAUGAAAGAGGUACCUGAAAAAUGAUGUUAGAAAAAUAACUUAUAUAUAUAUGUGUGUGUGUGUGUCUCUCUGUGUGUGUGUAUAUAUAUAUAUACACAAAUAAAACUUCUAAGCAAAUGGGCCAAAACGGGCAUACAAACGGGGGCCCAAAACAAAGCUAAAAUACAAAACACUCGAAUUACACAAUAUAACCAAAACAGGGCCGAACCUAUGGCCCAAAACAUAACGGACUGAACACAGGAAACUUCAGUCCAUAGAAUCUCCUUAUUUGGCUUCGUCUGUAGCUUUGAUGCUUGAUAAGGUGUUGGCCACUGGUAGCGAGAUACGGCUGUAGCGUAUGGAUGGCAGCAGUAUGGUUGUUGUUUCUGUGUAGAGAAGAUGAAGUUUGGGUAGUAGUGGAGGCAGCGGAAAGAUGAAGGUUGGGUGUUUGGACCGAGAAAUGAUGUUUGAUUGUGGCAGCCAAAUUUGGGAAGAUGUUUUGUGAUUGACGGGUAGCAAUUUUGGGUAUGGUGUUCUUGAGAUGUGGGUAGCGAUUGUGAAAAAGGAACGGUUGCUGCGUCAACGGUGGUUCGAUUUUCAGUAGCGGCAGUCGGCUACUUCAAAGCUGAGUUCGCAAUUGAGUUCGGAUUAUGGGUAUUAUAUGAUUGGGGCUUAAUGGGCUGUU
rnacentral:lncRNA from 1 species